UACGUAGGGUGCGAGCGUUGUCCGGAAUUAUUGGGCGUAAAGAGCUCGUAGGCGGCGGGUCAAGUCGAGUGUGAAAGCCCCGGGCUCAACCUGGGAAUUGCGCUCGAGACUGGUCUGCUUGAGUUCGGGAGAGGAGAGUGGAAUUCCCAGUGUAGAGGUGAAAUUCGUAGAUAUUGGGAAGAACACCGGUGGCGAAGGCGGCUCUCUGGACCGA
rnacentral:rRNA from 1 species